rnacentral:lncRNA from 1 species
GCGAUUCGUGGCUCAAUUAUAUUGGCUAAGCUUUCUGUGAUUCCAGUCAGGAGAGGGUACUGGGGGAAUAAGAUCGGUAAACCACACACUGUUCCUUGUAAGGUCACUGGAAAAUGUGGUUCAGUAACAGUCCGCAUGGUGCCCGCACCUCGUGGAGCCGGAAUUGUCGCUGCCCGUGUCCCCAAGAAGGUUCUGCAAUUUGCUGGUAUUGAAGACGUCUUCACCUCCUCCCGAGGCUCCACCAAGACCCUUGGAAACUUCGUCAAGGUGUGUUCUGAAUUAUUUUUGGUUCUUCUCAUUCUUUGGCAUUGAUUUUGAUCUGAAAUUUACCCCCGUGGAACUUGUUGAUGUUCUGAAGAAUUUAUGCAUUUCUGUUGAUUAAAUGUCUUUGGGUAACACGAAUAAUAGUUGAUACUCUUAAAACUUAUGUGAGGAUGAUUCCAAAGUUCUAACUUAUAAUUACAAUGAUGAGAAAACAGAUUUUUAUUUAGGGUUUAGUUUAUUGUGGUGAACAAUAUUGAAGUAGGGAUAGAACAUAAAAUCUUGUUCUUUAUACUAUACUAUUAUUGAGUGUUAGCUAAAGAUCAGAUUUUUAAUAGAUUUUGAUAAAUGCUUAUUAUACAUGAGCUCGAAAAGUUGGUAAAAGCUGUGUAUCCCAUUUGUGAAAAUUAAUUGUAGACUUUGAUUUGGAUUUUAUCGACUGUUUCUGACUAAUGAAGGCAUUGGUAAUUUACACUGGUUCUGUAGUCAUUUCAUCUAGUGACUUGUCUUUGGAUGCUAAUGAAUUUUGCACUUUACAGGCAACCUUUGAUUGUCUUUUGAAGACUUAUGGUUUCCUCACUCCGGACUUAUGGAGGGAGACUCGCUUCUCAAAAUCUCCUUUACAAGAGUACACUGAUCUUUUGGCAAGGCCGACCGCCAAGGUUGUCCAAGUCAUCGAGGAUGCAGGAGCCUGAACUUUUUGGACUGAGAUGUUUUGCUAAGUUUUCUAGUUAGACAAUAUUUAUACUUUGUCUUGCUCUUUCGAUCAAAUACUUGAAUUUUGUUUCAAGUUUUGCUUUAAAUUGAAGAUCUAGCCUUUUUAAGUUUUUCUCUAUUUGAAUGAAUUGAUUUUUUCCACUUAAUUAUAAACUGAAUUUAUCCAAAUCCUACUAUAGAUCUAUGGUUGAAAUGGAUAAUUUUUGGAUAUUGAUACAUUAAUAUACUAACAAGUAGUUAGUCAUUCGCUUUACAUUGAAAUAUAAUAUUGGCCCGUGUCUUCUAAACCAGCAAUUUCGGAUAUUAGGGUCUCUCGUCUCUUUACAAGGUCUUCUGAUGUGGACAUCAGCUUUUGUAUUAUGGACUUUUAUUCAUGCUUUCUUUAGUGGGCUUGUAUUAAUGGGUUGACCUAAGCUCUUUAUACUUUUUGGGUUUGUUUUGCUUAUUUAAAGAAUGUGUAAUGAAGCUUGAAAAAGGAGAUGAUGAAUUGAUGAAGAUGAAUGAAAUGUUUGGUUAUAUUUUCUCCUCCCCCGGCCUGACCUCUUAUUCUCUUCUUCUCCGGUCUUCUUUCCCCCAUUUUCUCGGGUUCUUGAUGCCUAUUUCUUUUUGAUCCUUUGCCUAUUUUCUGCUGGUUAUUGUUGAACUGCUGAAAUCCCAUUGAUCCUACAUCAACUUGUCGAGUUUUGAUAUUUUGUUUUUAAGAAAGAUCGUCCUCGAUGGUAUGAAGCUAGCCACAUUGCUGAUGGUUUGGAGAUUGAUGGCAACCUUUUGUGAUUUAUCUACUCGACUGGGUCGAGUUCUUCUCCCACCCCAGGAGAAUUGAUGCGGACAUCAGUUUUUAUAUUAUGGACUUUUAUUCAUGCUUUCUUUAGUGGGCUUAUAUUAAUGGGCUGGCUAUGCCCGUUAUGCUUUUUAGGUUUGUUUUGCUUAUUUAAAGGGAAAAAUUCAUAGUUCGGGUGUAUUAUUUAUACCAAUUCACAAAUCAGGUACAUAGUUCAAAAAUUCAAAAUUCAGGUAUUUAUAUAAUUAAUUGAAAAUCACAGUUAUAAGAUUAAUGGUUACAGAUUUAUAAUUAUAAGUCACAGAUUUAUUUUCUGGUCACAUAUCAUCAAAUUAAUUGGUCAUAAAUUAUUUCAAGGUCACAAAUCUAAAAUUUUGUAGGUCAUAAAUUAUUUCAAGGUUACAAAUCCAAAAUUUACGGAUCUCAAAUUGCUUCAAGGUCAAAUAAAUUGGUCACAAAUUGUCAAAUUCUUAGGUCACACUUAAAUAGUUGGUAACAAAUAACUAAAUGAUUGGUCACAUGCGUUAAAUAGUGGUCGUAUAUCAGCACAAAAACAUCCACCACACAAACACUAUCAUUAUCAGCAGCACACAAAACACCAUCUAAAUCUCACCCAAAUCGCCAGAUCUAUCACCACAAAAUCGCCGCCGCCACCACCACACAAAACACCAUCCAAACCUACAAAAUCGCCAUCAACCCAAGCUAUUUCUGCUUCGCGUGGCUUGCUAUAGUGUUCCGACGAUUUCAUUUCACCAUCGGAGUGGUAGAUCUGCUUCACUAAUUCAUUUCAUUAUCUCAGCUUGUGGUGAUUUGAGAAGGGAAAAGUGCGACGACGUGGUACUUCUUCAUUACAGUAGCACCAGCGAAGGGUACUCCAGCAAUGACAUGCUUCGAUGACGACGACGUCUGACGAAGAGAAGACAUGAGAUGGAGUUAGGGAGAUGAAGAGAUGGAGAUGAAGAGGAGUCAGUGACAAGAGAGAGAUGGACAGUGAGAGUGAAAUGAAGAGAGAAGGGAAAUUAUUAGGGUUUUUAAUUGAACUGAGUGGGUUAAUUAUAUAUAAUACCUUAUUUUUGCAUAAAUAAAUUUCACCCCUGAAUUUUUAAUUUGAAAGUUUUAAUACCUGAUUUUCUGUAAUUUCCUCUUUCAAGAAUGUGUAAUGAAGCUUGAAAGAGGAGACGAUGAAAUGAUGAAGAUAAUGAAAUGUUUGGUUAAGUUUUCUUCUUCCCGACCUCUCCUCUUAAUCUCUUCUUCUCCGGUCUUCUCCCUCCAUUCUCUCCCUCUCUUGCUGCCUUUUUCUUUUUAAUCCUCUGCUUAUUUUCUGCUGGUUAUUGUUCAACUGCUAAAAUUCCAUUGAUCCUACAUCAUCUUUCCCCGUCACUUAUAUAUGUGUUUCUUUGGUACCCUGGUGCUCGCUUGAAUAGCAUAGUUUUAUACAAUGGGUCGUUGAAUUGUUAAGCUAGAACUUCAUUUAUAAUAAUUCAUCCUAGGCUUCGGUUCUUCUCUUGGUUAUGUUUUCUGGUAGCUGUCCCUUGGUUAUGUAAUUAUGGACUUCACCUGGUUUCCAGUUCUAAAGCUACAACAUUAUUCCAGUUGUGUUCUUUAGGGAUAAACGUCUCAACUUUCUUGGCUAUUCUCUCCUCACCUUCUUGAGGAUGACUUGAGACUUGAAAUGAAGAAUUAUGUGUUGCUGCAGAAUGUGGGAAAAUCCAUGUUGUCGUGUUCUCUCUUGGAUUUGAAUCAAUGUCCUAACGGGAUAGUUGCUUUUGCUAAAACUCGUUUAGGUUUUUGAAUACGACGAUAUGCCAAUCUCACAAAUUUGAAGGAGUGCUCAGGAGAUUUUUGGUUUCUUGUGAACGGAACGUUUAGGUUUUUGAAUACCUGCAUCGUUUUAAAAUACCUUGGACGAUAUGUCAAUCUCCUCACAAAUUCAAAGAAGCGUUUAGGAGAUUUUGGUUUCUUGUGAAACGGAACGAGGAUAACGUUUUCAAAAAUGAUAAUACUCCACACGCAAAAAUUAUAAGACCGGUUUAAUAUAAGUUAUUUAUUUUCGAACUAUAACAAUUGCCGUCAAAAGAACUAUAUUUUUAGUUCAUACUAUUUAAUGAGGAUUAGAAUCUUUAUUUUUAUUUAAAUCAAAGUUAAUAAUUAAUUUUAAUAAUAUAUUUUAUGAGAUUCACAAUUUUUUAAUUAUAUAUUUUAUUGAUUUUUAUCAAAAUUUAUUAAAAUUUUGAUUUUAAUACAUGACUUAUGAUGUUUACCACAAACAAAAAUUGGUAUUUAAUAAUUAAAAGACCAGACUUUUUGAAGUUUGUCCGGUACAAAAACGAAGCUUGGCCGUCUAGUAAGAGACGGAAAAAUCAAGUCAAUUGAGCAAAUAUACCUCCAUUCCCUCCCAAUCAAAGAGUACCAAAUCGUCGAUAUCCUAAUCGGCCCCUCUUUGAAAGACGAGGUGAUGAAAAUCAUGCCCGUCCAGAAGCAGACCCGAGCCGGUCAGAGGACCCGAUUCAAGGCGUUCGUGGUGGUUGGAGAUGGGAACGGGCACGUUGGGCUCGGCGUCAAAUGCUCGAAGGAAGUGGCAACUGCGAUUCGUGGCUCAAUUAUAUUGGCUAAGCUUUCUGUGAUUCCAGUCAGGAGAGGGUACUGGGGGAAUAAGAUCGGUAAACCACACACUGUUCCUUGUAAGGUCACUGGAAAAUGUGGUUCAGUAACAGUCCGCAUGGUGCCCGCACCUCGUGGAGCCGGAAUUGUCGCUGCCCGUGUCCCCAAGAAGGUUCUGCAAUUUGCUGGUAUUGAAGACGUCUUCACCUCCUCCCGAGGCUCCACCAAGACCCUUGGAAACUUCGUCAAGGUGUGUUCUGAUUUAUUUUUGGUUCUUCUCAUUCUUUGGCAUUGAUUUUGAUCUGAAAUUUACCCCCGUGGAACUUGUUGAUGUUCUGAAGAAUUUAUGCAUUUCUGUUGAUUAAAUGUCUUUGGGUAACACGAAUAAUAGUUGAUACUCUUAAAACUUGUUUCAAUUUGUUAAUAUGUGAGGAUGAUUCCAAAGUUCUAACUUAUAAUUACAAUGAUGAGAUAACAGAUUUUUAUUUC